GAUGAACGCUGGCGGCGUGCCUAAUACAUGCAAGUCGAGCGAACAGACGAGGAGCUUGCUCCUUUGACGUUAGCGGCGGACGGGUGAGUAACACGUAGGUAACCUACCUAUAGACUGGGAUAACUUCGGGAAACCGGAGCUAAUACCGGAUAAUAUUUCGAACCGCAUGGUUCGAUAGUGAAAGAUGGCUUUGCUAUCACUUAUAGAUGGACCUGCGCCGUAUUAGCUAGUUGGUAAGGUAACGGCUUACCAAGGCAACGAUACGUAGCCGACCUGAGAGGGUGAUCGGCCACACUGGAACUGAGACCCGGUCCAGACUCCUACGGGAGGCAGCAGUAGGGAAUCUUCCGCAAUGGGCGAAAGCCUGACGGAGCAACGCCGCGUGAGUGAUGAAGGUCUUCGGAUCGUAAAACUCUGUUAUUAGGGAAGAACAAACGUGUAAGUAACUGUGCACGUCUUGACGGUACCUAAUCAGAAAGCCACGGCUAACUACGUG
rnacentral:rRNA from 1 species